rnacentral:rRNA from 1 species
GACGAACGCUGGCGGCGUGCUUAACACAUGCAAGUCGAACGGAAAGGCCCUGCUUUUGUGGGGUGCUCGAGUGGCGAACGGGUGAGUAACACGUGAGUAACCUGCCCUUGACUUUGGGAUAACUUCAGGAAACUGGGGCUAAUACCGGAUAGGAGCUCCUGCUGCAUGGUGGGGGUUGGAAAGUUUCGGCGGUUGGGGUUGGAAUCGCCGCUUAUCAGCUUGUUGGUGGGGUAGUGGCUUACCAAGGCUUUGACGGGUAGCCGGCCUGGGCGGGUGACCGGCCACAUUGGGACUGGGCUACGGCCCGGCCUCCUACGGGAGGCAGCAGUGGGGAAGAUUGCACAAUGGGCGGAAGCCUGAUGCAGCAACGCCGCGUGCGGGAUGACGGGCUUCGGGUUGGAAACCGCUUUCGCCUGUGACGAAGCGUGAGUGACGGUAAUGGGUAAAGAAGCACCGGCUAACUACGUG